ACUAGUGAUUGGGGACGGGGUGCAGCAGGCGCGAAACCUCCACAAUUCACGCAAGUGAGAUGGGGCUACCUCGAGUGCCGCCUGAAGAAGGCGGCUUUUCCAUUGUGUAAUGAGCCGUGGGAAUAAGGGGGGGGCAAGACUGGUGUCAGCCGCCGCGGUAACACCAGCCCCCCGAGUGGUGGGGAUGAUUAUUUGGCCUAAAGCGUCCGUAGCCGGCCCGGUAAAUCUCUCGUUAAAUCCAGCGUCCCAAGCGUUGGGCUGCGAGGGAGACUGCCGGGCUAGAGGGUGGGAGAGGUCAGCGGUAUUCCUGGGGUAGGGGCGAAAUCCAUUGAUCCCAGGAGGACCACCAGUGGCGAAGGCUGCUGACUAGAACACGCCUGACGGUGAGGGACGAAAGCUGGGGUAGCGAAUCGGAUUAGAUACCCGAGUAGUCCCAGCCGUAAACGAUGCAGGCUAGGUGUUGGGGCGGCCACGCGCCGCCUCAGUGCCACAGGGAAGCCAUUAAGCCUGCCGCCUGGGGAGUACGGCCGCAAGGCUGAAACUUAAAGGAAUUGGCGGGGGAGCACCACCAGGCGUGAAGCCUGCGGUUUAAUUGGAGUCAACGCCGGGAACCUUACCGGGAGCGACAGCAGAGUGAAGGCCAGGUUGAAGGUCUUGCCGGACGAGCUGAGAGGAGGUGCAUGGCCGUCGCCAGUUCGUGCCGUGAGGUGUCCUCUUAGGUGAGGUAACGAACGAGACCCGCGCCCCAUGUUGCCAGCAAAUCCUAAAGGGAUGUUGGGCACUCUUGGGGGACCGCAGCCGACAAGGCUGAGGAAGGUGCGGGCAACGGCAGGUCAGUAUGCCCCGAAUCUCCCGGGCCACACGCGGGCUGCAAUGGUAGGGACAGAGGGCUGCCACCCCGAGAGGGGGAGCCAAUCCCUAAACCCUACCUCAGUUGGGAUCGAGGGCUGCAACCCGCCCUCGUGAACAUGGAAUGCCUAGUAACCGCCGGUCAUCAUCCGGCGGUGAAUACGUCCCUGCUCCUUGCACGAAUUCGCCGAAUCCCGCG
rnacentral:rRNA from 1 species